ACAUGCAAGUCGAACGGUAACAGGAAGCAGCUUGCUGCUUUGCUGACGAGUGGCGGACGGGUGAGUAAUGUCUGGGAAACUGCCUGAUGGAGGGGGAUAACUACUGGAAACGGUAGCUAAUACCGCAUAACGUCGCAAGACCAAAGAGGGGGACCUUCGGGCCUCUUGCCAUCGGAUGUGCCCAGAUGGGAUUAGCUAGUAGGUGGGGUAACGGCUCACCUAGGCGACGAUCCCUAGCUGGUCUGAGAGGAUGACCAGCCACACUGGAACUGAGACACGGUCCAGACUCCUACGGGAGGCAGCAGUGGGGAAUAUUGCACAAUGGGCGCAAGCCUGAUGCAGCCAUGCCGCGUGUAUGAAGAAGGCCUUCGGGUUGUAAAGUACUUUCAGCGGGGAGGAAGGCGAUAAGGUUAAUAACCUUGUCGAUUGACGUUACCCGCAGAAGAAGCACCGGCUAACUCCGUGCCAGCAGCCGCGGUAAUACGGAGGGUGCAAGCGUUAAUCGGAAUUACUGGGCGUAAAGCGCACGCAGGCGGUCUGUCAAGUCGGAUGUGAAAUCCCCGGGCUCAACCUGGGAACUGCAUUCGAAACUGGCAGGCUAGAGUCUUGUAGAGGGGGGUAGAAUUCCAGGUGUAGCGGUGAAAUGCGUAGAGAUCUGGAGGAAUACCGGUGGCGAAGGCGGCCCCCUGGACAAAGACUGACGCUCAGGUGCGAAAGCGUGGGGAGCAAACAGGAUUAGAUACCC
rnacentral:rRNA from 1 species